UUUUUUUUUUUUGUAUUUUUAGUAGAGACGGGGUUUCACCGUGUUAGCCAGGAUGGUCUCGAUCUCCUGACCUUGUGAUCCACCCACCUAAGCCUACCAAAAUGCUGGGAUUAUAGGCCUGAGCCACCACACCCGACCUCGUCGAACUUGCGAGGUUAUUUCUGUUUUGUGCCAUAUAAUAAUUAUUUUGAUGGAAAUUGUCAUUGUCCUUUUUCUUCCCACUCUGACAGGCUGUGUUUGAUGUGGACAAGAAGAAAGGGUUGACUCUGAUUGAGCUCUGGGAAGGCCUGACAGUGGAUGACGUACAGAAGAGUACUGGGUGUGAUUUUGCAGUUUCACCAAAACUCAUGCCAAUGCAGCAGAU
rnacentral:lncRNA from 10 species